GAGUUUGAUCCUGGCUCAGGAUGAACGCUGGCGGCGUGCCUAAUGCAUGCAAGUCGAAUGAGGUCGCUCCUUCGGGGGCCAAACCUAGUGGCAGACGGCUGAGUAACGCGUGGGUGACCUGCCCCCGAGAGCGGGAUAACUGCGAGAAAUUGCAGCUAAUACCGCAUACAUUCCCGUGCUUCAAUGCGCGGGAAGAAAUGACUUAUCGCUCGGGGAUGGGCCCGCGUCCUAUCAGGUAGUUGGUGCGGUAACGGCGCACCAAGCCGGAAACGGGUAUCUGGUGUGAGAGCAUGACCAGACAGAGGGGGACUGAGACACGGCCCCCACUCCUCCGGGAGGCAGCAGCAAGGAAUCGUGCACAAUGGGCGAAAGCCUGAUGCCGCGACGCCGCGUGAGGGAUGACGGCUUUCGAGUUGUAAACCUCUUUUCUCAGGGAAGAGAGAGGACGUCACCUGAGGAAUAAGUCACGGCUAACUACGUGCCAGCAAGCCGGGGUAAUACGUAGGUGGCAAGCGUUUUCCGGAAUUACUGGGCGUAAAGGGUCCGUAGCGGUUUGGUAAGCCCCUUGGGAAAGCUACGGGCUUAACCCGUAAAGGUCGAGGGGGACUGCUAAGCUAGAGGGCGGGAGAGGAGCGCGGAAUUUCCGGUGUAGCGGUGAAAUGCGUAGAUAUCGGGAAGAAGGCCGGUGGCGAAGGCGGCGCUCUGGAACGUCUCUGACGCUGAGGUGCGAAAGCGUGGGGAGCAAACAGGAUUAGAUACCCUGGUAGUC
rnacentral:rRNA from 1 species